rnacentral:misc_RNA from 1 species
GAUGAAGAACGCAGCGAAAUGCGAUAAGUAAUGUGAAUUGCAGAAUUCAGUGAAUCAUCGAAUCUUUGAACGCACCUUGCACCCUUUGGACUGCUCCAAAGGGUAUGCUCGUUUGAGUGUCAUUGUACUCUCACACUCUCUGAUCCUUUGGAUUUGGGGAGCGGUGGACUUGGGUGCUUGCUGCUUCCUUGUGGCUCACCUGAAAUGCAUCAGUGCAUCUCUCGAUUGGACAUAGUACGGCGUGAUAAGUGUCUUCGCCGGCACCUCAUAUGAGGGUGGCCGAUCGGGAGCUCUGUGCUUUCAAACCGUCUUCGGACAACGCUGACAACUUGACCUCAAAUCGAGUAGGACUACCCGCUGAACUUAAGCAUAUCAAUAAGCGGAGGA